AAUAAGAUGCCUGAUUAAAGGAUUAUUUUGAUAGAAUAAAUUAAGUGAGAUUCACUCUUAUUG
rnacentral:tRNA from 2 species